GGAUUCUAACAUCUUGGAUAAGUCCAAUGACCUGAAGCAGCUGAGAGAGCAGAUUCGCAAGCUGGAUGAACGAGUGGAUUUGGACAUGCAGGAGCAGACCAGAGAGGAACAGCACUGGGCAGAAGAGAUGGAGUCAGUGGAGAACCAUCAUAAGGUUCUUGAGAAGAAGGUUAAUUAUGGUUACGACGAGGCUAUGCAACCCCUUUACCUUUGUUUGUGGCUACUUUGCACAACAUCAGUGACUUGACUGUGGUUGGUCUUCAUUUCAGAGUUGUGUUAUAUUGAAGCCACUAGGGGGCAGCACACACCUCUGGCUGCUAACGUUCAGUGGCCUUUUUGUUAUAUUCUAUUUCAUACAUUCAUUCAGUUUUUUUUUGUUUGGUCAACUGAAGUAGUGACAUUGCUUGUGUCUCAGUGUAGGAUAGACUUACAGAAUAACUGUAUUAACAACCUCCACAGUCUCUCAGCUCCUGAAAUCAUCUGAAAUGACUGACCUUUUUUUUUUUUCCUACAUGUUCUCACUUUUCCAAACACACAUUUAAGUUUAGUCAGAAACAACAUGUUGAUUCAGUGUAUGAGAUGAAAUGUGUUUCAGACAUAUUCAUGCUUCUUUGGUAGCAUUUGUAUUCUACAAACCCAAUAAGCUGUGAAUGUAUGACUUCAGAUAUUGGUGCGGACCAGCACUGGUAGUUAAAAAAGAAAUGGCAGGCAUUGUUUCCAUUUGUGUCAGUCUCAUUUAUCCUGUUUUUUCCAUGCACAUUAGAGCAUUGAAGUUCCACAUAUAAGCCAAAGCCCAAUAAAACCGACUGGCUCAUUAGCAAAU